rnacentral:misc_RNA from 1 species
UUUCCGUAGGUGAACCUGCGGAAGGAUCAUUACUGUAUCCCCGCGGUGCAAGGGCUGUCGCUGACCCGACAGGUCGUGCACGCCCUAUUGCCCUCCCACACAUCCAUCUCGCCCCUAUAUGCACCACCGCGUGGGUCCCCCUUUGGCUUGUUCGGAGGGGGGCUUACGUUUUCACACAAACUUUGUAUGCAGUGUAGAAUGUAUUUUUUGUUUUUGCGAUCACGCAAUCAAUACAACUUUCAACAACGGAUCUCUUGGCUCUC